rnacentral:rRNA from 1 species
GGUUCUUGAUGGGCUCACGUCCUAUCAGCUUGUUGGUGAGGUAAUGGCUUACCAAGGCGACGACGGGUAGCCGGCCUGAGAGGGUGACCGGCCACACUGGGACUGAGACACGGCCCAGACUCCUACGGGAGGCAGCAGUGGGGAAUAUUGCACAAUGGGCGCAAGCCUGAUGCAGCGACGCCGCGUGGGGGAUGACGGCCUUCGGGUUGUAAACCUCUUUCAGCAGGGAAGAAGCGAAAGUGACGGUACCUGCAGAAGAAGCGCCGGCUAACUACGUGCCAGCAGCCGCGGUAAUACGUAGGGCGCAAGCGUUGUCCGGAAUUAUUGGGCGUAAAGAGCUCGUAGGCGGUUUGUCGCGUCUGCUGUGAAAGCCCGGGGCUCAACCCCGGGUGUGCAGUGGGUACGGGCAGGCUGGAGUGCAGUAGGGGAGACUGGAAUUCCUGGUGUAGCGGUGAAAUGCGCAGAUAUCAGGAGGAACACCGAUGGCGAAGGCAGGUCUCUGGGCUGUUACUGACGCUGAGGAGCGAAAGCAUGGGGAGCGAACAGGAUUAGAUACCCUGGUAGUCCAUGCCGUAAACGUUGGGCACUAGGUGUGGGGGACAUUCCACGUUUUCCGCGCCGUAGCUAACGC